rnacentral:rRNA from 1 species
UACGUAGGGUGCGAGCGUUAAUCGGAAUUACUGGGCGUAAAGCGUGCGUAGGCGGUUCGUUAAGUUCGUUGUGAAAGCCCCGGGCUCAACCUGGGAAUGGCAAUGGAAACUGGCGGGCUUGAGUAUGGCAGAGGGGGGUGGAAUUCCGCGUGUAGCAGUGAAAUGCGUAGAGAUGUGGAGGAACACCAGUGGCGAAGGCGACUCUUUGGUCUGUAACUGACGCUGAGGCGCGAAAGCGUGGGGAGCAAACAGG